rnacentral:rRNA from 1 species
GAUGAACGCUGGCGGCGCGCCUAACACAUGCAAGUCGAACGGCACCCCUCUCCGGAGGGAAGCGAGUGGCGAACGGCUGAGUAACACGUGGAGAACCUGCCCCCUCCCCCGGGAUAGCCGCCCGAAAGGACGGGUAAUACCGGAUACCCCGGGGUGCCGCAUGGCACCCCGGCUAAAGCCCCGACGGGAAGGGGAUGGCUCCGCGGCCCAUCAGGUAGACGGCGGGGUGACGGCCCACCGUGCCGACAACGGGUAGCCGGGUUGAGAGACCGACCGGCCAGAUUGGGACUGAGACACGGCCCAGACUCCUACGGGAGGCAGCAGUGGGGAAUCUUGCGCAAUGGGGGGAACCCUGACGCAGCGACGCCGCGUGCGGGACGGAGGCCUUCGGGUCGUAAACCGCUUUCAGCAGGGAAGAGUCAAGACUGUACCUGCAGAAGAAGCCCCGGCUAACUACGUGCCAGCAGCCGCGGUAAUACGUAGGGGGCGAGCGUUAUCCGGAUUCAUUGGGCGUAAAGCGCGCGUAGGCGGCCCGGCAGGCCGGGGGUCGAAGCGGGGGGCUCAACCCCCCGAAGCCCCCGGAACCUCCGCGGCUUGGGUCCGGUAGGGGAGGGUGGAACACCCGGUGUAGCGGUGGAAUGCGCAGAUAUCGGGUGGAACACCGGUGGCGAAGGCGGCCCUCUGGGCCGAGACCGACGCUGAGGCGCGAAAGCUGGGGGAGCGAACAGGAUUAGAUACCCUGGUAGUCCCAGCCGUAAAGGAUGGACGGUAGGGUGUGGGGGGACGAUCCCCCCGUGCCGCAGCCAACGCAUUAAGCGUCCCGCCUGGGGAGUACGGCCGCAAGGCUAAAACUCAAAGGAAUUGACGGGGGCCCGCACAAGCAGCGGAGCAUGUGGCUUAAUUCGAAGCAACGCGAAGAACCUUACCAGGGCUUGACAUAUGGGUGAAGCGGGGGAGACCCCGUGGCCGAGAGGAGCCCAUACAGGUGGUGCAUGGCUGUCGUCAGCUCGUGUCGUGAGAUGUUGGGUUAAGUCCCGCAACGAGCGCAACCCCCGCCGCGUGUUGCCAUCGGGUGAUGCCGGGAACCCACGCGGGACCGCCGCCGUCAAGGCGGAGGAGGGCGGGGACGACGUCAAGUCAUCAUGCCCCUUAUGCCCUGGGCUGCACACGUGCUACAAUGGCCGGUACAGAGGGAUGCCACCCCGCGAGGGGGAGCGGAUCCCGGAAAGCCGGCCCCAGUUCGGAUUGGGGGCUGCAACCCGCCCCCAUGAAGUCGGAGUUGCUAGUAAUCGCGGAUCAGCAUGCCGCGGUGAAUGCGUUCCCGGGCCUUGCACA